AGGUCUGUGCUAUAUAAAUACCUAGUAAUUAGAAUGUUUUAGAGAGCCGAUUACUAAAAAUUGUAAUGUUAAUUUUCUAUUUGAUUGUUUCAGCCUAUAAUCUACUGUAUUAAGUAUUGUUUAUUAAUACCCAAGCCUUGCCAGCUGUAAUUAUGGUCAAGGAGUGCCCUGACACCUCCAUUGUAAGUAGUCACACCAUUUUUAACAGAAUUUGAACUUAAGUUUUAAAU